CCCGCCGGACCCCACUGCUAUCGGGGUGGGACUAAAACAUGCGAGUCGAGCGCCUUCAAGCUAUGGUGAAGGCGCGGCAAACGGCUCAGUAACACGUGGCUAACCUACCCUUUGGACGGGGACAACCCCGGGAAACUGGGGCUAAUCCCCGAUAGAUGAGGAGGCCUGGAAUGGUUUCUCAUCUAAAAGGCGUUUAGACCAUGCUUUUAGGCGUCGCCAAAGGAUGGGGCCGCGGCCGAUCAGGUUGUUGGUGAGGUAACGGCUUACCAAGCCUAUAACCGGUACGGGCCGUGAGAGCGGGAGCCCGGAGAUGGGCACUGAGACAAGGGCCCAGGCCCUACGGGGCGCAGCAGUUGCGAAAACUCCGCAAUGCGCGAAAGCGUGACGGGGCUACCCCGAGUGCCGUCCGCUGAGGACGGCUUUUCCACGGUGUAAGGAGCCGUGGGAAUAAGGAGAGGGCAAGCCUGGUGUCAGCCGCCGCGGUAAAACCAGCUCUCCGAGUGGUGGGGAUGAUUAUUGGGCUUAAAGCGUUCGUAGCCGGCUCAGCAAGUCUUCCGUUAAAUCCAGCGAUCUAAUCGUUGGACUGCGGAAGAUACUGUUGGGCUAGGGGACGGGAGAAGCCGACGGUAUUCUCGGGGUAGGGGCGAAAUCCUAUAAUCCCGGGAGGACCACCAGUGGCGAAGGCGGUCGGCUAGAACGCGCCCGACGGUGAGGGACGAAAGCUGGGGGAGCGAACCGGAUUAGAUACCCGGGUAGUCCCAGCUGUAAACUAUGCGGGCUAGGUGUUGGGGCGGCCACGAGCCGCUUCAGUGCCGCACGGAAGCAAUUAAGCCCGCCGCCUGGGAAGUACGGCCGCAAGGCUGAAACUUAAAGGAAUUGGCGGGGGAGCACCACAA
rnacentral:rRNA from 1 species